rnacentral:rRNA from 1 species
GAUGAACGCUAGCGGCAGGCUUAACACAUGCAAGUCGAGGGGCAGCAUGAACCGACCUUCGGGAAGGUUUGAUGGCGACCGGCGCAAGGGUGCGUAACGCGUGAGCAACUUGCCCGUUUCUGGGGAAUAACCGGUGGAAACGCCGACUAAUACCCCAUAGCAUCAACUUAGGGCAUCCUUAGUUGAUUAAAGAAUUUCGGAAACGGAUAGGCUCGCGUGACAUUAGCUGGAUGGCGGGGUAACGGCCCACCAUGGCUACGAUGUCUAGGGGUUCUGAGAGGAAGGUCCCCCCACACUGGAACUGAGACACGGUCCAGACUCCUACGGGAGGCAGCAGUGAGGAAUAUUGGUCAAUGGUCUGACGACUGAACCAGCCAUGCCGCGUGAAGGUCACGGCCCUAUGGGUCUUAAACUUCUUUUGCGAGGGAGCAAUAAGGUCUACGUGUAGACUGAUGAGGAUACCUCGCGAAUAAGCAUCGGCUAACUCCGUGCCAGCAGCCG